rnacentral:rRNA from 1 species
UACGGGGGGAGCAAGCGUUGUUCGGAUUUACUGGGCGUAAAGAGCUCGUAGGCGGUCUGUCGCGUCUGCUGUGAAAACUCAGGGCUUAACCCUGAGCUUGCAGUGGGUACGGGCAGACUAGAGUGCGGUAGGGGAGACUGGAAUUCCUGGUGUAGCGGUGAAAUGCGCAGAUAUCAGGAGGAACACCGGUGGCGAAGGCGGGUCUCUGGGCCGAUACUGACGCUGAGGCGCGAAAGCGUGGGGAGCAAACAGG